rnacentral:rRNA from 1 species
UACGUAGGGUGCGAGCGUUGUCCGGAAUUAUUGGGCGUAAAGAGCUUGUAGGCGGCUUGUCGCGUCUGCUGUGAAAAUCCGAGGCUCAACCUCGGACUUGCAGUGGGUACGGGCAGGCUAGAGUGUGGUAGGGGAGACUGGAAUUCCUGGUGGAGCGGUGAAAUGCGUUGAUAUUCACAGGAACUCCGGUGGCGAAGGCGAGGUGCUGGACCCCAUCUGACGCUGAGGCGCGAAAGCCAGGGGAGCGAACGGG